CAUUUGGAAAUAGACUUCAAUAAGAUUGUGUUUUUUUAAUGACGUCACGACUAAGCGAACUCUCAAGUAGGGAAAACGCGCCAAAUAGUGUCAAAAAUAGUAGCGGACAUGUUUGAUAUAACUUAUUGAAUGGAGUGUUUGGCAGUUGAAGACAGCGAAACGAAGCGCCAGCAGGUCCAGAUUGGUCCGAGCCAGAGUAUGUUUUUAAUGCGCUGGUUCGGGACCGCUGGAGCCUUCUAUCGGCGAGUAUAAGUGGCUCGGAGCCGAAAAGAUUUUGGUUAUUCGAAGAAAAAAAUGGGACGAGGUGUCGAGCAGAAUAUCAGUAGAAUUUGGUGUCGCAAAAACUGGUGAACAGUGCCAGAAGAAGUACCAAAAUUCCAAGGCUCGGUCUUCUUCAUAUGCUUAACAAAGCAGUGAGCGUGCCACAACAGCCAGCAGUGAAGAACAUAUGAGUGUACCAGUCAUGAAAGUAGAGGCAUGAAGUGGAAAGAAUCGCUCACAAAGAAGACCGACAAGAGAUCACAAGCCGAUACCUUAACAAAACUUACAGAGAAACCGAUGGGAAAUAACUAAGAAAAAUUAGAAUAAGAAAUACAAAAGUUGACUGUAGAAAUUGAAAUAAUACAUUUGGAGAAAAAGAUGUGUUUAGUGUCAAUACGUGACCAAGUGCUAUAACUCUGACAUGUAAUAUACUAGUAGUAGAUUUAUUCCCCUUUUUGUAAUUAAAAGGAUCUUAUUAUUUUUUGUGCAACUACUUCAUAACUCUAUUAUUUCUAAAAUAGAUAGUCUAUAUUAGAAAUAAUAGAGUUAUGGAGCAGUUGCACACAAAAUAAUAUAAAAAAAAAAUAAUUCAAAAAGGGGCAUACUAAUAUUUCUAUGAUAAAAAUAUGAUUCUA